CUGCUCUGGCUUCUCCGAGGGAAACCAACCUCUAAGACAGACCGAACAACCUCCUGCCGGCUGUGCUCCACCUCACGGAUCUGAGCUGCCAUCUGUGGGGGAGAGGCUGCUUAGAUAGGAAUCCAGACUUUUCACCAUGGACUUCUUGAAGCUAAAAAGAAAAAGGGCAAGUCCCGGUCAGUUGUGAAAAGAUCCUCAGUAGAUCGUUUUUCUCUGAAUUUUGGGUAGUGUCAAACUCCCAGAAACAAAAUAGUACAAUGAACACCCAUGUACCUCUCCCCCUGUAAACAUUUUGCCAUACUGGCUCCAGUUUGCUUAUAAACACAUUGCCUUUCUGCCAAGAACAUGAGACUUAAUUCUAAAUUUUUCAGCAUACAUCUCCUGGGAACAGGAACAGCCUAUGAAACCAUUACCAUACUUAAGAAAAUCAAUUUCCCUUUCUUGAUGUCCAAAUUGUCCCAUAUUUGGGACAACAAUAUAUUUGCAGUUGUUUUUAUCCUACAAUACAAAGGUAUCUGAAUAACAUCAAUGCUGCUAUCAGCAAUAAGACUACUAAGCAAAGCUCAAGGUUUCUUUGCAGUUCAUUAGUCCUCAGAAAACCUAAGGGUGUACAGUCAGAUUUUUGUGUUCAAAUGUUACUUGAAUUCUUAUUCUUUCAUCGUUAUCAAUUGAUACAUAAUUAAUAUAACUGUCUUUGUUUGCCUAAUUAUUAUUUUUUGAAAAUAUAACUAUAGAACAUUUCUUUGAUUUUCACUAAGACUUUGUCUUGAGGACAUAACUAAACUGCGUCACCACCCCCCACCCCGAUUUGAAGAAGGGUUAUUAGUACAGUGAAUGUUCAGAUACGAACAGUUUGAAGGACUGGAACCAACAGUAACUGACAAAAACCAACUUCCAUCUAAAUCAUCAUAAAAAUGUUUUAAG